rnacentral:lncRNA from 1 species
UUUAGCCGAGACCGUGAAUGUAUUAGGUUCAACAUGACCUUCUGUUUUUAUUUGUGUUUGCCAACAGGAUGCCUUAUUUGUUUGAGAAAAAAUUUUUUACUAGUGUCCUUCUAAGCGAUCUUCUUUUUUAGGAUUCUAAAGAAGUUGUUAAUCAUCAUACUCGUGUUUAUUUUACCACCAUUUAGUGCCUUAAGUCCUAUCAAAAAAGCAGUGUUACUGCUCAGUGCCCAAGUAAGACAUGCUUACGUGGCUAUUGCUGUUGUCUUUAUUUUGAGUUAACAGGCCAACUUCUUACACUUAAAACCUCAGUAAAUUGGCAAAGAAUUGAAGGUUGCAUGUAACUUGAUUUGAGAAUCAAAGUAGCAUUGGGUGGAAAUGGAGUAUUUGGGUUAAGCUUACAUAUUUAUUUCUGACGGUUAUCUUAUUGAAAGCAAUAAUCCUUAAUCUAACAAUCCUUAUACCUGGUGUUAGACAAGAUAAUCAUAGAAAUUCCACUCAAGAAUUAAAUGUUCCAUUUCUGAACAUUUAGGCAGCUUAUUUUGAAAGCAAAAGUAACUUAUUAAAUUCAUUUUGCCUAACUCCAAUAAGAGAGAAUCAUCACUGAGAGCAGCAUAAAAUUAAUUUCACUAAGUGGAGAAGAGUAGGAAGCAGCCAUAUUUCUUUCUGAUACUGACUCUGGACAGAAUUGGUUUCUUUCAUUUCCAAAGUGCAGAGUAGCGAACUACAUCAUCUAAUGUAGGAUUGUAAGUACACGUCUUUAUGUUACUUCCCAUAGCUUAUGCCUGAAUCAUUAAUGAUUUAAACAUUUUUAAAAGCCAUCCUGCCUUUAGGUAACUCUUGAAGUACAAGUUUGAAAUCACUAGCCACAUUUCCUUCAUCAUAAGGCCCGUGGAAAACAGAGAGAUUCCUUGUUUCCUGUAGAAAAUAAUUCCAUUUCUUUUUCAACUGCAGUUGCCCUUCAGCUGCUUGCAGUUGUAUUCAUAUUAGAAAACAAGUGUUUUCAUUAAACCGGAGGCCAAGUCUAUGAUACUGCCUGAAGGAAACUCAGUUACUUUGCACCAUCUUCUCUCAUUUGAUCCAUAUAGCAUAGGCAAAGACAUCAAACUCAGGCCUUAGUGAAGUGGGACUGUUACUAUGACAUCCAUACACAAGUCCUUUCUUUGUAUGAAAUUGAACAGAUACCUAGCUGGUUAGCAUUCACAUUCCUUCCCAGGGAGUUUGAAAUGUGUAAUAUAGAAAUAAGCUUAGGUCGUAGAUAGAGUUCAAGAGAGAAAGCACAUGUUGCCACAAUCCAGGAAAACGUUUUUAAGAAAGAUUGGAUUUUCGUACCUACAGAAACCUAGACCCAAGUUACUAUUUUUUAAAAAAUUGUUUUGUUUUGGUAUUUACUCCUAGUUCAGAUUAGUGGUUAGAGAAGGGGCCUCCUUAUUCCCAUUUUCAUGACGACCUAGUUUCUACUUAAUUGACCUAAUGAAGUCAUAAAUUUAUAAUGACUUAUGAAUUAUAGUAAACAAUAGAAACUACCCACUUUUGUAUUAUACUAUCAAAUAGAAAACAAUGAUGAGAUAGGAAAAUCUAAAUUUAAAAUGGCUUAGAAAAUAUUCAGAUUAUCUUCAAAUUUCUAAAUUUCAUCUUAUUUCUAAAACAAAAUUAUAGGUAAAAAUUAUAGGUGACUCAUACAUCCCUUACGGUUUUUCAAAGUCUCAGUUUCCUUUUAAUAUAUGUAUUUAUUUUUGUUAAAGCAGCUAUUUUCCAACCUGUGACUUUGGAGAUACACCCAUAAAACUAAUAUGGCAGCAGGGUUAUUGAAUCAGCUUUGGGUCCCAGAAGUUGCUUCACAUGUGCACGUUGUGAAUUUUAUUGUAUCUAUAGAAUAUAAUUUUUGUUUUAAACUGUAGUUCCAUCUAUUUCUCAGAAAUAACUUUUCAAAGAGCGAAAAAUUCCAGGAUAACUACUUCUGUGUCAGUUACACUUGACACAUAACUGCACAAAUGAACAAUGUACACUGUUAGUUGUACAUUAACUUACAUGUACGACUUCUGGCAUCUGUGUUCACAAAUGCAUGUUUUCGCAAAUCACCGUUAUUUAUAAGUGACAAUAAUUGAGGUUAAGGUUACAAAGAAACCUGCAUUUGUAGUCCAGAGUUUUAAGUGGUCCAUAAUACAAUGUACGGAAAUGUGAAAGACAAUUUUGUAUAUUUGUUUGUUACUAACUCAGAUCAUUAAAAUGAAAACAAUUUUUUAAACAAC